rnacentral:rRNA from 1 species
GUCGAGGGGUAACAGAAAAGCUUGCUUUUGCUGACGACCGGCGCACGGGUGCGUAACGCGUAUGCAACCUACCUCAUACUGGAGGAUAGCCCCUGGAAACGGGGAUUAAUACUCCAUAGUAUCACAAUUUCGCAUGUUAUUGUGAUUAAAGUUUUUCGGUAUGAGAUGGGCAUGCGUCCCAUUAGCCUGUUGGUGAGGUAACGGCUCACCAAGGCAACGAUGGGUAGGGGGCCUGAGAGGGUGGUCCCCCACACUGGUACUGAGACACGGACCAGACUCCUACGGGAGGCAGCAGUGAGGAAUAUUGGUCAAUGGAGGAAACUCUGAACCAGCCAUGCCGCGUGAAGGAUGACGGCCCUAUGGGUUGUAAACUUCUUUUAUAGAGGAAGAAACUUGUCUACGUGUAGACAACUGACGGUACUCUACGAAUAAGGAUCGGCUAACUCCGUGCCAGCAGCCGCGGUAAUACGGAGGAUCCAAGCGUUAUCCGGAUUCAUUGGGUUUAAAGGGUCCGUAGGCGGAUUUUUAAGUCAGUGGUGAAAGCCGACAGCUCAACUGUCGAACUGCCAUUGAUACUGGAAAUCUUGAGUACAAAUGAAGUAGGCGGAAUGAGUCAUGUAGCGGUGAAAUGCAUAGAUAUGACUCAGAACACCGAUUGCGAAGGCAGCUUACUAACAUGUAACUGACGCUGAGGGACGAAAGCGUGGGGAGCGAACAGGAUUAGAUACCCUGGUAGUCCACGCCGUAAACGAUCAUCACUCGCUGUUGGCGAUAUACUGUCAGCGGCCAAGCGAAAGUAUUAAGUGAUGCACCUGGGGAGUACGCCGGCAACGGUGAAACUCAAAGGAAUUGACGGGGGCCCGCACAAGCGGUGGAGCAUGUGGUUUAAUUCGAUGAUACGCGAGGAACCUUACCAGGGCUUAAAUGUAGUUUGACCGGCUUGGAAACAGGCCUUCUCUUCGGAGCAGAUUACAAGGUGCUGCAUGGUUGUCGUCAGCUCGUGCCGUGAGGUGUUAGGUUAAGUCCUGCAACGAGCGCAACCCCUAUUCUUAGUUGCCAGCGGUUCGGCCGGGG